UUUUAAGACCUAGCAAUAGGUAUGCUUAGGGAAGAGCUUGCGUCACAUUAGUUAGUUGGUGGGGUAAUGGCCUACCAAGACGAUGAUGUGUAGCCGGGCUGAGAGGUCGAACGGCCACAUUGGGACUGAGACACGGCCCAAACUCCUACGGGAGGCAGCAGUAAGGAAUUUUCGGCAAUGGAGGAAACUCUGACCGAGCAAUGCCGCGUGAACGAUGAAGUAUUUCGGUACGUAAAGUUCUUUUAUUAGGGAAGAAAAGAUGGUGGAAAAACCAUUAUGACGGUACCUAAUGAAUAAGCCCCGGCUAACUAUGUGCCAGCAGCCGCGGUAAUACAUAGGGGGCAAGCGUUAUCCGGAAUUAUUGGGCGUAAAGGGUGCGUAGGCGGUUAAAUAAGUUUAUGGUCUAAGUGCAACGCUCAACGUUGUGAUGCUAUAAAAUCUGUUUAGCUAGAGUUGGAUAGAGGCAAGUGGAAUUCCGUGUGUAGUGGUAAAAUGCGUAAAUAUACGGAGGAACACCAGAAGCGAAGGCGGCUUGCUGGGUCUUAACUGACGCUGAGGCACGAAAGCGUGGGGAGCAAACAGGAUUAGAUACCCUGGUAGUCCACGCCCUAAACGAUGAGUACUAAACGUUGGAUAAAACCAGUGUUGAAGUUAACACAUUAAGUACUCCGCCUGAGUAGUACGUACGCAAGUAUGAAACUUAAAGGAAUUGACGGGACUCCGCACAGGCGGUGGAUCAUGUUGUUUAAUUCGAAGGUACCCGAAAAACCUCACCAGGUCUUGACAUGCUUUUGCAAAGCUGUAGAAAUACAGUGGAGGUUAUCAAAAGCACAGGUGGUGCAUGGUUGUCGUCAGCUCGUGUCGUGAGAUGUUGGGUUAAGUCCCGCAACGAGCGCAACCCUUGUUGUUAAUUGCCAUCAUUAAGUUGGGGACUUUAGCAAGACUGCCAAUGAUAAAUUGGAGGAAGGUGGGGACGACGUCAAAUCAUCAUGCCCCUUAUGACCUGGGCUACAAACGUGAUACAAUGGCUGUUACAAAGGGUAGCUAAAGCGUAAGCUUCUGGCGAAUCUCAAAAAAGCAGUCUCAGUUCGGAUUGAAGUCUGCAACUCGACUUCAUGAAGUUGGAAUCGCUAGUAAUCGCGAAUCAGCA
rnacentral:rRNA from 1 species